ensembl:lncRNA
UUUUUUUUUUCUUUUUCCUAGAAUGUUUACUAUGCUAAAUGUGCACUGUUUAUUUCCAAGAUGGAUAUCAAACUGAAGUGUUUCCCAAUCAAAACUGAUUGUAGAACUUUGAUUGGAAUCUUAGGAUAAAUGCUCCAUGCAGUGUAAGUAGUCCAUGGUAAGUAUUACAUUUUCAAAUAAUGUUGAGUCAGGUGAGCCUGUCACUGCUCCUCGAAUCAAGCCAGGUGGAUGACUUACCACCCUCUAGGUCAUAAGGAACAGUAAAGUUUGAAAAGUGAGGACAAGGGGGUCUGUCCUGAAGGAAGCAGUAUAUGACAUCCUGCAUAUAACACCUUUUCUUGUAAGUGGGUGGACAAAAGACUUGACAAAAUAGCAACCAAGAAAUGGAGCCAUUUCCAUUUCAUGAGACUAGAAAAAUAUCUAAGACAAAUACUGAGACAUACGAGGAGCAAAUGCUGGCAGUAUGAACAACUUACCUAAAAGGUAAAUAUAUUUUCCUUAGAGAGCUGUCUUUAAAGAGCUGGGUACAUGACAAUCUUUUUGCAUUGAGCAAGAAUUUAACCAUGGCCAGUGCCUCCCUCAAACAUGGGCAAAUUUCAGACACAGGUCUUCUAACCUGAAUGGCUCUCUCUUUGACAAAUAGUGAUUCUCAAACCUUAGAGUACAUGUGAAGCAAUUGGGGAACUCUUUCAAAAUACAGUCUCGGGCUGCCACUCCCAGAUGUUCUGAUUCAGUAUAUCAGAAUUGAAAAUCUGUUACAGGUUCUACUCUGAGGAAGGCUGAUUUAAAACUAACCAACAGGGAGUUCCCAUCAUGGCUCAGUAGUUAACGAAUCCUACUAGGAACCAUGAGGUUGCAGGUUCGAUCCAUGACCUUGCUCAUCGGAUUCGUUAACCACUGAGCCACACGGGAACUCCACACUCAUUUCUUUAGAGUCAUAAAAGAAAGUGUACUUUUUAAAAUUAUAGGCACACUAUUAACUCUUAUCCAAAUCUUUUUAAACUAAAAAUUCAUUAAUUUGAAUAAUUUGACCCAAAACGUACACAUCUCAGCCUUCAUGUGAACAAUUACAUGUCUGCCUCAUAAUUGAUGCAUAUUCCUUAUCUGAAGUAUUUCUCAAUUAAGAAAUUCCACAAAGACAUGUAUACUAUGUGCAUAUUUUCAGCCCCUAGAAUAUUUGGCAGAGGACAUUUUAAAAUUAUCAAAUAUUCAUCAACAGUCUUCACCGGCACCAAAGGAAAGAUGAUAGUCACUGAGUUUACAUAAUAUCCACCUGGCUCAAACUAAACUGAGCAAAACAGCCAAGAAUGCAAAAGCCUGAUUGAGCACAUAAUUGACCAUAAAAAACAGCUUUCAAAUAAAUCUAGAUUCAAUGUUGCCUCUCUAGUCGAUAUGCCCGCAAUUGCUUACUCGGCACACCCCUUCCUAAGGGAGGUCUCAGCCUACCUCCCAAUCUCUUUUGUCUUUCCUCCUGGCUCUUCCCCAUCACUUCAGGGCUGCUAAUCUACC